rnacentral:rRNA from 1 species
ACGGGAGGCAGCAGUGGGGAAUAUUGCACAAUGGGGGAAACCCUGAUGCAGCAACGCCGCGUGAGUGAUGACGGUCUUCGGAUUGUAAAGCUCUGUCUUCAGGGACGAUAAUGACGGUACCUGAGGAGGAAGCCACGGCUAACUACGUGCCAGCAGCCGCGGUAAUACGUAGGUGGCAAGCGUUGUCCGGAUUUACUGGGCGUAAAGGGAGCGUAGGCGGAUUUUUAAGUGGGAUGUGAAAUACCCGGGCUUAACCUGGGUGCUGCAUUCCAAACUGGAAGUCUAGAGUACAGGAGGGGAAAGCGGAAUUCCUAGUGUAGCGGUGAAAUGCGUAGAGAUUAGGAAGAACACCGGUGGCGAAGGCGGCUUUCUGGACUGUAACUGACGCUGAGGCUCGAAAGCGUGGGGAGCGAACAGGAUUAGAUACCCUGGUA